UACGGAAGCAGCAGUGGGGAAUAUUGCACAAUGGGCGCAAGCCUGAUGCAGCCAUGCCGCGUGUAUGAAGAAGGCCUUCGGGUUGUAAAGUACUUUCAGUCGUGAGGAAGGUGUUAAGGUUAAUAACCUUAGCAAUUGACGUUAGCGACAGAAGAAGCACCGGCUAACUCCGUGCCAGCAGCCGCGGUAAUACGGAGGGUGCGAGCGUUAAUCGGAAUUACUGGGCGUAAAGGGCACGCAGGCGGUUAAUUAAGUUGGAUGUGAAUCCCCGGGCUUAACCUGGGAAUGGCAUUCAAGACUGGUUAGCUAGAGUCUUGUAGAGGGGGUAGAAUUCCAUGUGUAGCGGUGAAAUGCGUAGAGAUGUGGAGGAAUACCGGUGGCGAAGGCGGCCCCUGGACAAAGGCUGACGCUCAUGUGCGAAAGCGUGGGGAGCAAACGAGGAUUAGAUACC
rnacentral:rRNA from 1 species